UUAUUUGGGUGGGGGUUUAUUGCUCAUAUCUGUUGCUCUUGUGGUGUCUCGAAUUUAAGUGAUAAACCCUUCCCUAAAUAAAAUUCCUAUUCCAAAUAGGAGCGAGAUAAACUUUAUAUUUAAAACCCACUCUUGAACGUAUAAAAUUUAUGUAUUAAUGAUAAAAUUAACGA
rnacentral:misc_RNA from 1 species